UCCGUAUGUCUAGAGACUGGGUGUGUUGUGAUGAUGUCAUAGUUCCGUAUGUCUAGAGACUGGGUGUGUUGUGGUGAUGUCAUAGUUCCAUAUGUCUAGAGACUGGGUGUGUUGUGAUGAUGUCAUAGUUCCAUAUGUCUAGAGACUGGGUGUGUUGUGAUGAUGUCAUAGUUCCGUAUGUCUAGAGACUGGGUGUGUUGUAUUGAUGUCAUAGUUCCGUAUGUCUAGAGACUGGGUGUGUUGUGAUGAUGUCAUAGUUCCGUAUGUCUAGAGACUGGGUGUGUUGUGAUGAUGUCAUAGUUCCGUAUGUCUAGAGACUGGGUGUGUUGUGAUGAUGUCAUAGUUCCAUAUGUCUAGAGACUGGGUGUGUUGUGAUGAUGUCAUAGUUCCGUAUGUCUAGAGACUGGGUGUGUUGUAUUGAUGUCAUAGUUCCGUAUGUCUAGAGACUGGGUGUGUUGUGAUGAUGUCAUAGUUCCGUAUGUCUAGAGACUGGGUGUGUUGUGGUGAUGUCAUAGUUCCAUAUGUCUAGAGACUGGGUGUGUUGUGGUGAUGUCAUAGUUCUGUAUGUCUAGAGACUGGGUGUGUUGUGAUGAUGUCAUAGUUCCGUAUGUCUAGAGACUGGGUGUGUUGUAUUGAUGUCAUAGUUCCGUAUGUCUAGAGACUGGGUGUGUUGUGGUGAUGUCAUAGUUCCGUAUGUCUAGAGACUGGGUGUGUUGUGGUGAUGUCAUAGUUCCGUAUGUCUAGAGACUGGGUGUGUUGUGGUGAUGUCAUAGUUCCAUAUGUCUAGAGACUGGGUGUGUUGUGGUGAUGUCAUAGUUCCGUAUGUCUAGAGACUGGGUGUGUUGUGGUGAUGUCAUAGUUCCAUAUGUCUAGAGACUGGGUGUGUUGUGGUGAUGUCAUAGUUCCGUAUGUCUAGAGACUGGGUGUGUUGUGGUGAUGUCAUAGUUCCGUAUGUCUAGAGACUGGGUGUGUUGUAUUGAUGUCAUAGUUCCAUAUGUCAAGAGACUGGGUGUGUUGUGAUGAUGUCAUAGUUCCGUAUGUCUAGAGACUGGGUGUGUUGUGGUGAUGUCAUAGUUCCGUAUGUCUAGAGACUGGGUGUGUUGUAUUGAUGUCAUAGUUCCGUAUGUCUAGAGACUGGGUGUGUUGUGGUGAUGUCAUAGUUCCGUAUGUCUAGAGACUGGGUGUGUUGUCUUGAUGUCAUAGUUCCGUAUGUCUAGAGACUGGGUGUGUUGUCUUGAUGUCAUAGUUCCAUAUGUCUAGAGACUGGGUGUGUUGUGAUGAUGUCAUAGUUCCGUAUGUCUAGAGACUGGGUGUGUUGUGGUGAUGUCAUAGUUCCGUAUGUCUAGAGACUGGGUGUGUUGUGAUGAUGUCAUAGUUCCGUAUGUCUAGAGACUGGGUGUGUUGUGAUGAUGUCAUAGUUCCGUAUGUCUAGAGACUGGGUGUGUUGUGAUGAUGUCAUAGUUCCAUAUGUCAAGAGACUGGGUGUGUUGUGAUGAUGUCAUAGUUCCAUAUGUCUAGAGACUGGGUGUGUUGUGGUGAUGUCAUAGUUCCAUAUGUCAAGAGACUGGGUGUGUUGUGAUGAUGUCAUAGUUCCGUAUGUCUAGAGACUGGGUGUGUUGUGGUGAUGUCAUAGUUCCGUAUGUCUAGAGACUGGGUGUGUUGUGGUGAUGUCAUAGUUCCAUAUGUCUAGAGACUGGGUGUGUUGUGGUGAUGUCAUAGUUCCAUAUGUCUAGAGACUGGGUGUGUUGUGGUGAUGUCAUAGUUCCAUAUGUCUAGAGACUGGGUGUGUUGUGGUGAUGUCAUAGUUCCGUAUGUCUAGAGACUGGGUGUGUUGUGGUGAUGUCAUAGUUCCGUAUGUCUAGAGACUGGGUGUGUUGUAUUGAUGUCAUAGUUCCGUAUGUCUAGAGACUGGGUGUGUUGUGGUGAUGUCAUAGUUCCAUAUGUCUAGAGACUGGGUGUGUUGUGGUGAUGUCAUAGUUCCGUAUGUCUAGAGACUGGGUGUGUUGUGGUGAUGUCAUAAUUACGUAUGUCUAGAGACUGGGUGUGUUGUAUUGAUGUCAUAGUUCCGUAUGUCAAGAGACUGGGUGUGUUGUGGUGAAGUCAUAGUUCCGUAUGUCUAGAGACUGGGUGUGUUGUAGUGAUGUCAUAGUUCCGUAUAUCUAGAGACUGGUCGUGUUGCGGUGACGUGGUGCUGGUGUGUCCAGGAACUGGUUAUGCUCUCAGUUUAAUUGCUGUGGCCCUCUGGGAGGUCUGCUCAUGCUGUUCACACUCAGAGUGUCUUUCCAUGUCAGAGACCGACAGGAUACACUUUCGAGUUAUUGAGGAUAAAAAUAAAACCUUUGACCUUGACUGGAGAGAAAUAGAGGAACACAGGAAGAGAGGGAGAGAGAGAAAAGGGGGGAAAACAGAAAGAGAGAUGGUGACUGAUAGGUGGUAAGGAGUGGUGGUAAGGAGAGGUGCUAAUCAGAGGUGGUAAGGAUAGGUGCUAAUCAGAGGUGGUAAGGAGAGGUGCUAAUCAGAGGUGGUAAGGAUAGGUGCUAAUCAGAGGUGGUAAGGAUAGGUGCUAAUCAGAGGUGGUAAGGAGAGGUGCUAAUCAGAGGUGGUAAGGAGAGGUGCUAAUCAGAGGUGGUAAGGAGAGGUGCUAAUCAGAGGUGGUAAGGAGAGGUGCUAAUCAGAGGUGGUAAGGAUAGGUGCUAAUCAGAGGUGGUAAGGAGAGGUGCUAAUCAGAGGUGGUAAGGAUAGGUGCUAAUCAGAGGUGGUAAGGAUAGGUGCUAAUCAGAGGUGGUAAGGAGAGGUGCUAAUCAGAGGUGGUAAGGAUAGGUGCUAAUCAGAGGUGGUAAGGAUAGGUGCUAAUCAGAGGUGGUAAGGAUAGGUGCUAAUCAGAGGUGGUAAGGAGAGGUGCUAAUCUGAGGUGGUAAGGAUAGGUGCUAGUCAGAGGUGGUAAGGAUAGGUGCUAAUCAGAGGUGGUAAGGAGAGGUGGUAAGGAGAGGUGCUAAUCAGAGGUGGUAAGGAGAGGUGGUAAGGAGAGGUGCUAAUCAGAGGUGGUAAGGAGAGGUGGUAAGGAGAGGUGCUAAUCAGAGGUGGUAAGGAUAGGUGCUAAUCAGAGGUGGUAAGGAGAGGUGCUAAUCAGAGGUGGUAAGGAUAGGUGCUAAUCAGAGGUGGUAAGGAGAGGUGCUAAUCAGAGGUGGUAAGGAUAGGUGCUAAUCAGAGGUGGUAAGGAGAGGUGCUAAUCAGAGGUGGUAAGGAGAGGUGGUAAGGAGAGGUGCUAAUCAGAGGUGGUAAGGAGAGGUGCUAAUCAGAGGUGGUAAGGAUAGGUGCUAAUCAGAGGUGGUAAGGAGAGGUGCUAAUCAGAGGUGGUAAGGAGAGGUGCUAAUCAGAGGUGGUAAGGAUAGGUGCUAAUCAGAGGUGGUAAGGAGAGGUGCUAAUCAGAGGUGGUAAGGAUAGGUGCUAAUCAGAGGUGGCAAGGAGAGUGGUAAGGAGAGGUGGUAAAGAGAGGUGGUAGAGAGAGGUGGUAAAGAGAGGUGGUAAGGAGAGAUGGUAAGGAGAGGUGGUAAGGAGAGAAAGUAAAGCAAGAUGUAAGGAGAUGUUGUAAAGAGGGGUGGUAAGGAGAGGUGGUAAGGAGAGAAAGUAAAGAAAGAUGUUAGGAGAGGUUGUAAAGAGGGGUGGUAAGGAGAGGUGGUAAGGAGAGAAAGUAAAGAAAGAUUUAAGGAGAGGUUGUAAAGAGGGGUGGUAAGGAGAGAUGGUAAGGAGGGGUGGUAAAGAGGGGUGGUAAGGAGAGGUGGUAAAGAGGAGUGGUAAGGAGAGUGGGUAAAGAGAGGUGGUAAAGAGAGUUGGUAAGGAGAGCUGGUAAGGAGAGAAAGUAAGGAGAGAUAGUAAAGAAUGAUGUAAGGAGAGGUUGUAAAGAGGGGUGGUAAGGAGAGGUGGUAAGGAGAGGUGGUAAGGAGAGGUGGUAAGGAGAGA